rnacentral:lncRNA from 1 species
UUUAUUAAUAAGAAAAGAAGCAGUUUUCAUAGCAAUAAAACCAAAAGAAUCAGAAAGACAAAUACCUAAAAAUGGCCCAAAAAUUAAAAAUGGCCUAAAUAAUAGAACAAAAAAAUAUCUAGAUAUUAUGCAGAAUAGUCUAGAACGACAAUAAAUACGCCGAAUAAAUGCCCAAUUAGAAUAUCUGAAAUCUGUCUUGUCAGCUAUCUAUCAUUUCUCUGUUCUUGUUUGAUGAUUUCAAUACUCAGGAAAGCUUUUUCUUUCAAAAAACUUAUCUUUUCUUUGAAGCUUUCUUCUCGUAUACCUUCUUCUCUGAAAACAUUUCUCAAUCUGGUUCACGCAUCCAGUCAAACUUCUUUUGAUUUUCGGCAUACUUAGGGACAUUCAUUUCUAGGUACACCUUCUCCUUUCUUUUUAAAGUUUCUGUUGCGAGUAUAUGAGCAAGGGCGAUUGCGAAUCUCGGUAUAUGUUUGAACAUGAAAUUUCUAGAUCUAUUUGUUCUCUGUUGAAUAUCAUAUAUGUAUGCUCCUAUCAGUGGUCGGUCUUGACUCUUGUUUUUACAUUUCUUGAUUACUGCGAGGGACUCUCCUUUGAUUAUGAUUGCUGACCAUUUCUUUUCAACUCUUAUUUGGACUGCUUUCCGACAUGCAAUUGCUUCAGCAGCAAAGGCGGAGACGACCCCUUGAUGGAUCUCUGAGCAAGAUAAGAGCACUAUCCCUUCUUCAUUUCUGACCACAAUACCUAAAGCCGAAUGAUUAUAAUUCCUAUCAUACGCACUAUCGAAAUUGAUUUUAAUGAACUCACGAGGUGGGUGGCUCCAACUUCUAGUCUCCUUCGUAAUUACUGAUUUUCUUUUUUCAAGACCAUUAAGUUCAACAAUGUAGUUGCUAAUGAAGUUUACUAUUUCCUUGCAUGUACUAAUUCUCUUUUCAUGUAUUCUUGUGUUUCUAUCUCCCAUAUGGCCCAGAGUGCACAGCAGAAAUUGCGGUAUUGACAAGGGUAAACUGAUCAAACACCCAGGUAAGCCACUAUACAAAUUCCAUAUUAGUAACCAUGAGAAUAUUCUGGAUUGACAAUGUUGUCCAAACUUCCACUGUAACAGGACAUUCACGAAAUAAAUGAUCAAUUGUUUCAGCUCUUUCUCCACAUCGAGGGCAACUUGUAUUGUUGGCUAAUUUUCUAUACUGCAUUUUGACCUUUGUAGGCAGAUAAUUCCAUGAAAAUCUCCAGAUUAUAAUCUUGAUCUUUAUUGAUAGAUUUAGGAGCCAAAGUUUUUUGUAAAAUUUCCUAUAGAUGGUUUGUAAAAAGUAAGUUCUAGGAUUUUCAUCAGAAGUUUGUAAUAAUUUAUAGGUGCUACGAACCGAAAAUGCACCCGAAGAUUCACCUCCCCAGACCAGAAAAUCAUCGUGAGUUACUCGGGCCAAGGGGAUCCGGAGGAUUUUUCUAGCAUCUUAUUCUGAAAAGGUAUUAUUAAUUAGCUCCUUUUUACAUAUUCUUUCAUUGCUAUCGAUCAACUUAUUAACAUUAAAAUAUCGCAUAGAAUUAACCACUGAAGAUAAUCUAAAAUUUAUUGCAUCUGGAAUCCGAGCAUAAUCAUUAAUAAAGAUAUUAAUACCUGUACCCACUCGCCAGCAUAGUCCUUUUGCCAAAAUUCCUUUAGCUGCCUAAAUACUUUUCCAUAUAUAAGAACUUGAAUUUCUUGAAUGAGAACUUAAAAAUUGAUCGUUCGAAAAAUAUUUGGCAAACACUCGCGUAACAGGAGAAUUCUGAUUAUUAAUAAUCCUCCAUCCUUGUUUAACUAGUAGGGAAAUGUUGAACUAAGCCAUGUUUCUAAAACCCAUUCCCGUCUUCUUUUGGGGGACACAUAAAUUUCCAUUUGCACCAAUGUAUCCCUUUCUUUCUCUUUCCUUUUUGCCACUAGAAUUUAGCGAAUAUAUUUUCUAGUUCUCCACAUAGAGACUUUGGUAGAAGAAAGCAUGUUAUAGCACAAGUUGGUAUUGCUUGAAGUACAAAUUUUAUAAAAACCUCAUUUUUCCCCAUGUGAUAGAAACCUUGUAUUCCAUUUUUCAAUUAUCUGCUUAACCCUAUCCUUAAGAUAAGAUUCUGAAAAGAUUCCAUCCUCCAUCUUCCUACCAUAUUAGGAAGUCCUAGAUAUUUUUUCAGAUUUGUUGAGCACCUUACACUCAUUACAGCCGAGAUUUCUUUUUUGUUCCCCUCUGCUGUGUUAGAACUAUAGAAAAUCGCCGAUUUAUUAAAGUUCACGUAUUGGCCGAAACAUAUUUCACAUUCCUUCAAAAUAUCUUUCAAAAUCAUUGCUCCUCUAUUUUUAGCUUCACCAAACAAAAUACAAUCAUCUGCAAACAGUAGGUGUGAUAUCGUCGGUCCUCUUCUACUAGCUUUUACUCAUUUUAACAAACCCUCUCUUAUUAGCAGCCUUAUCAGAGAUGAAAGUCUUUUAUUGCAUAUCAAAAAAAUAAAAGGGUUAAGUGGGUCACCUUGACGGAGCCCUCUAGUAUGUUUAAAACAUUGCCUCUAUUCCCAUUAAUGUUCACUACAUAAGAGACUGUGGAAAUACAUCUUAUAACUAAUGCAACCCAUUCCUCUGCGAAUCUCUUUCGAAGCAUUACAUCCUUUAAAAAAUCCUAUUCAACUCUAUCAUAAGUUUUGUUCAUGUCUAAUUUUACUGCCAUGAAUCCUUUUUUCCCUGUAUGUUUUUGGCUUAAUGUAUGUAAAAUUUCAUAGGCUAGCAACGCACUUGAGCACUAUCAAUACAUCUUCCAAUAAAUUCUUAAAGUUGAUUUGCUAUUGUUUUGGCCACAAUUUUGUAGAUAACUAUGCAUAAACUAAUAUGACUGAAAUUGACAAGAAUUGUGGGGUUUGGGGUUUUUGGAAUAAGCACUAUAUCCGUAAGGUUUAAAGAGUCAAAAUCCUUACCAUCAUUUAAAAUUCCUAGACAAAAAGUUUCAACAUCUUUACCCAUAAUGUGCCAGAACUUUUGAAAAAAUAAUGCUGAAAAACCAUCACAACCUAAAGCUUUAGUGGGCCCCAUUCCUUUCAACGCUGAAUAGACUUCUUCUGUCGUGUAUGUUGCUAACAAAGCUGUAUUGAUAUCAGAAGAAAUAUUAAUGUUAAUACCCGUUAAGAGGUGUGAUAAAUUCCCCACUCCAUUAUACGAAAAUAAAUUCUGGAAGUAAUUUAAAGUGGCCUCAUUAAUUACUAAUUCAUCAGAAAUUUCCUUUCCUUCAUCUGAUUCCAGCCUAGUAAUUGUGUUAAUUCAUCUACAAACUAAGGCAUAUUUAUGAAAAAAAAGCUGAAUUCUUAUCCCUUAAUUGAAUCCAACUGGCGCGUGCCUUUUGUUCCUAAUACAUUUCAUCUUUAUCAAUCUCCAUGUUGAGUCAAAUUCUAGUAUCAAUUAGCUUUGCCAUUGUUUCAUCAUCCCUCUCCCUAUCCAUUAGAUUUUUUAGUUCCUUUGUAAGCUUACUUUUUAAACUGUCUCAACCCUUCUUUAUUGAGCUUGCCCAUCUUAUCAAAUUGAUUUGCAGUCUUUUAAGUUUUUCAAAGAUCGAUCCAUUUGAUACCUCCCAUGAUUUCUUAAUUUCUCGUUCAAUGGACUCCUCCAAGGUCCACCAUGCCUCAAAUUUAAAUCUAGGAAUCCCCUUAUAACUUUUUUCAUUAUCUGUACUGAUAAGAAGAGGGCAAUGAUCUGAUGUCGAGUGUAUUAAGUGAUGAAUAUUGCCCUUUGGAAAGAGAUGCAUCCAUUUUUCAUUUGCAACGCCUCUAUCCAAUCUCUCUUUAAUAUUUGUUUUCGGUAGAUUCCCUCUCUGCCAUGUAAACCAUACCCCCGUAUAACUCACGUCCAUUAAUUGACAUUCCUCUAAAACCUCACGGAAGACUUCCGUUCUUUUCUCCUCCCUCGAUUGACCUCUAUCUUUUUCAAAAGAAUACAUUAUUUCAUUAAAGUCACCAUUUACCAGCCAAAGAUGAUUUUUUUCUUGACCCAAGGUCCUUCGUAAAUUUUAUGAGACAGUUUUGUUACUUACAUAAGGUGAACCAUAAAACAUUGUAAAUCUCCAUUCUUCAUUAACACUUUCCUCUUUGAUCAACACAUCAAUGUGAAUUUUUGAGAAAAUUUUUAGACUAAUCGUAAUUUCUUCUUUCCAUGCUAGACAGAUUCCACCUUGCGAACCUUCCUCGCCUACGUCAAUCCCAUUCGCACGACCACAUCUCCUUCUGAUAUUUUCUAUACGUUUUCUAUCUAUUUUGGUCUCCAUAAAGAAGACAUUGGGGAUUAUGUUGCUUCAGCAAAAACCGAAGCCUCCGCACUGCCUGUGGAUUCCUCAAUCCACAGACAUUCUAACAUAUAUUUUUCAUUGCAUUCGGUCGGCUUGCCUUUUGGCAGUCGUCGAUCUAUUUUAGUUGGGAAAAUAAAUUUGUUUCUGAUUUUCUAUAGACAAAAUUGAGCCAUAUUUGCUUUUUAACUCUUGUCCAUCAUGUUUCAUUCUCUUUGCUUCAUCUUCACGGGUCUCUUCUGUACAACAAUCUUCAACUUCUAUUUCUUUCGAUUUUCUCUUUCUCAAUAUACUUUAUUCACUAUAAUGGCUCAUCACUUUCACUGAAUCAAUUCUUUUCCAACUAAUUUUCCUGAUUGGUUUCAAAGUUUCUUCACAUGAAGCGUUCUUCCCAUUCACUUUAUUUUCCACGGUUGCCCCUUCCUCCUGCAUCUUCUUCACUUUCUUUGCUUCUAUUGAUUGUAAAUUAUCUUGUACUCUCUGGACCAUAGCGUUUUCAUCCUCUUUUUGUGGAUUUAUCUCCUGAAUCUUCUCCAUAAUUCCUAUAUACGAACAUUGAGGUUGCAUCUUCUUUGAGAGGGCAUUAAACUUUUAACUUUCCUUUCCGAGUAAAUUUGAUUAUGCUUUUAACGCUAAAGAAUAAGGUGGAUCAUCUCUGAUUUUGUUUUUUUUCUUCAGGUUUUAUCCCAACACAUUCUUGGAGACCAUGCCCCAUCCUUCCACUUCUAAAACAGAAUGUCGGUAGUUUUUCAUACUUAAAAGAGAUCCAAGAUUUUCUUUGGUUGUCUUUGGAGACAAAAAUACCCCUACGAAGUGGUUUCUGCACAUCUAAUAUAAUUCUAAGAUGACAAAACUUACCAUUAAUUUCAGAUCUAAGUACGCCUCCAAAAGUAACCCCAAUAGCAUGCAGUAGAUCUUUUUUAUCAAAUUCUGGCAAGCAUGACCCUAUCUUGAUGCAGAACGGGGAUGAAUUAAGCCUGAUUUGACUUCUUUCCAUCGGUUUAGUCAAACAAUAAAAAAUAACUAAGUUUUUACGAAAUAACCAUGGCUGACCUUCCAGAACUGUCUCUAAAUCUUCUUCAAUUUCAAACACGAUCAAAAAGAGAUUUUGCCUUGCUAAUUGAAGCUCGAAUUUUUUUCUUGUUUUCCAUAUACUCUUCAUUUGUGCCCUAAAGCUAUCCGGAUUAUAGGAUUUCUCUGUCCAUAUCGUACAAAUCAGAGUUGGCUUUUCGUUUGGUUCCACCAGAGCUUUUGAUCGAUAAUUGAAUGAGUUCUUCUGCCAAAAGGGAGAUCUCGUUUCCUUCAAAACCGUUGUCGCCACCACUUUCCUUCAUCCCAAGCCGUAGCAGAAACUGUUUUCGAUAGGAUUCUAAGCAAAGCACUCUUGGCUAGAGUUUUUUAAGUUUUGAUGAUUUUAAAUGCUAUUGUUGUUCUAAACUUAAAAAAGUGAGAUGCACUAGAUUUCCAAUGGUUGGCAAAACAAAAACAUAGAUUUACUUGAAUAGUGAUGAAAGUCGAGAAUUUCAUAUAAUUUAAUUUAAUUAAUUUUAGUUUUUGUAUUUUUUAAUUUAAAAUAUUAAUCCCAACUCAAACAGUAGUAACUAAAUUUGUUUAGUUAAACUCAAUUAUUAGUCUUGCACUAUGCGUACAAUUAUAGAGUUCGUCCAUAUUCGUCAAUGGGUUCAUUCUAAGUCUCUAUACUUUUUGAACUUUGAAAUUUCAAUAUGAUGUAAAUGAUGAUAGAUAAUCCAUUACUUAGAUCUUUAGUGAGUAGUAUGUGGAAUAACAAGUUGACAACGCAUGGCAUAAGUUAACGAAUUAACAACUCUUGUUUAGGGAGGAUUGAAAGUUUAGAACUUAAAAAGUAUAAAGAGUAAAAAUGACUAAAUUAAAGUAUAGAUGUUAAAUCUACAACUUUCUAUAAGAAUAAGGAGUAAUAGCAGAAUGUGAGCUUGAGUUAAAUUGGGUUGUCAUGAAUGGGACAAUUUACAUGAUAGGAAAGCUGAGGCCCUUUCGGCCUCUGACAUUCAUCCUUUUCCAUUAUAGAUUCAACACGCUUAUCUGAUCUGUCCCUUUUCCGGCUUUGUUGAAUUUGUUUUGAAGGAAUCGAAAAUGAGUUGGAAUAGUAUAUUCUCCAAGUAAUUUAAAAUGAUGAUUUCAGUCAUAAAGGUUUGGUUUGAGAUGCAUUUGCCUCCUCUUCUGGGCAUUCUGCAAAUAUUACCUCUAAAACUAAACAACCUGCCCUCCCUCUGACUUUUACCUUUACAACUACAUGAUCAACACAUUCAAACUUUAAGAACUGGACAAUAAUUGAGAUGUAGCAAAAUCCAGAAAACAAAAACAAAAAAACUUCAAUUUUUUACACAUCCAUAGGCACUCUGGUUUCAUUCAUAACAACAUCCAAAAUUCAUAUCAGUCUUUCAGAAAGCAAUAUAUAUUGUUCUAUGAAUGAAAGGCAAACAGGUUUACCCUGGAAGAUUUUCCAAAAAUUUGUUCACAAAUUGAACAGAAGAAGAAGUAUAUAUAUAUAUAUAUAUAUAUAUGCACACAAUUUAGUUGAUCAAAGACAUUGGAACUCAUACAUAGAGGAAAUAACAUGUAGGAUUACUAGACAAACCAGGGAGGGAUCAGAAAAGGUAGAUUCAGUAGCAAUACUUCCAUGUCGUACAUCUUCCACAUCCACAAUAGUGAGGUUGCCGACAAGAAUUUGCAGACAAGAAACGAACAACCACUAGUAUUGCCAAUGCUGCG